rnacentral:lncRNA from 1 species
ACUCAAUUCAGGUAGGUCUCAUAGUAAGAAAAAGGCAUUGCUAAGGCAAGAAUGUGAUCCCAGGAAGAAGGGUGGAGACUUGGUCCAUACAACAAGGCUGAGAACUUUGACAUUCCACGUUUUCCUAAAUCUGUCUUCCACCUCACAACUCUACCAGUGCACUCAGCACUGAGAAACAUUGCCAUCUGUUCUUGUCAAGUGCAAUGGUUGGUUAAAUGCUUUCUGUAUUAAUUUCAGAUGGACCACAUUUAAUCACAAGAUCUUUCUUUAAUUUAAGUGUUGGCACAUGAAUGCACAAGUAGACCAGUCUUUUCACAUCCAGGAAUGUCAUUACCACUCAAGUUUUCCUGUGUUUCUGUGACUUCAGGAAGAAGAGAUAAUGCUGGGCAGAUAGGGAGAUGGACUCAAUGCCUAUGGAUAUUUGCUAAGAAACUUACAAAAAGGCUAUUUUUAAAUAAGGACCUAUGUGCAGGGGGUCCAUGCCUCUCCAAAGAAGGAAAAAUUCCUGAUUGAUAUUUUGAUUGGACUAAAGUUUGCAUGAAUACCUUGUGGACACUGAAUGCCUUGAACUUCCUUAAACUUAUAGAUCCAAGUAAAUCUCUAGACAAUAGCCACUCUUUGUUAUCCCUCUCUUGGGACCCCUCUGUCUCUGGGAACUCUGCUGUCCAUUACUCUAAUAUAUCCUGUUACUUUGCUCUCAUCCUUGUGUCCAUGGAUUUUAUUCUUUAAAUUCAUGAGACCAAGAACCCAACCCUGUGCUCCAUGAUAACCCUGUAGGUGGAGGCAGGAUUCCUACCUCACAGUGUACAUACCCUGUAUUCUGCUCUUCUUUUUUUUCUCUGUAAAUGAAGCCUGUGCUUACAAUAUGAUAUCACUUUCAUUAUUAUGCUUUAUUACAUGCAGUACAAUUUUUACAAAUGUCAUUAAGUCCC